rnacentral:rRNA from 1 species
UAAAGAAUAUUGGACAAUGGGCGAAAGCCUGAUCCAGCGACGUCGCGUGAGUGUUAAGGCCUUAGGGUUGUAAAGCUCUUUCAGUAGGGAAGAUAAUGACGGUACCUACAGAAGAAGCCCCGGCUAACUUCGUGCCAGCAGCCGCGGUAAUACGAAGGGGGCUAGCGUUACUCGGAAUUAUUGGGCGUAAAGCGUGCGUAGGCGGCUUGAUAAGUUGGAAGUGAAAUCCCGGGGCUUAACCCCGGAACUGCUUUCAAAACUGUCUUGCUAGAGUCCUGGAGAGGAUAGCGGAAUUUCUAGUGUAGAGGUGGAAUUCGUAGAUAUUAGAAAGAACACCGGAGGCGAAGGCGGCUAUCUGGACAGGUACUGACGCUGUUGCACGAAAGCGUGGGGAGCAAACAGG